rnacentral:misc_RNA from 1 species
GUUUAAGUGAAAAUUUCCCCUUGUGGGUGGGUGUGGGUGAGGGAUUUGUACCCAUAAUGAUUAGAGUGAUGAAAAUUAGUUGAACAUUAAGAUUAUCUUCUCUCCUCGUCAGUUGGAAAGAGAAAGGCAGACAAAAUUAAUGAUACAAGAAUAGGCACUAACAUGGACUAUUCAAGUUAAAUGUAUGCUUGGAUUGACAAAGAGA